rnacentral:rRNA from 1 species
GAAGGCUGAAAUUCGCCUUCAUGAAGCUGGAAUUGCUAGUAAUGGCAGGUCAGCAUACUGCCGUGAAUACGUUCCCGGGCCUUGUACACACCGCCCGUCACACCAUGAGAGUUGGAAAUACCCGAAGCCUGUGAGCUAACUUAAAGAGGCAGCAGUCGAAGGUAGAGCCAAUGAUUGGGGUGAAGUCGUAACAAGGUACC